CCAGCAGCCGCGGUAAUUCCAGCUCCAAUAGCGUAUAUUAAAAUUGUUGCGUCUAAAAAGCUCGUAGUUUGAAAACUUGCCUUGACUUGCAAUCGGGCCUUUUGGUCCACCGCUUGUUGAGUGCAAAUAUAGAUGACUGUUUUUGCCGGCUUUACUGCUCGGCUUAUAAGAGUUAUCAAAUAUCACUUUGAUUAAAUUAGAGUGCUCAAAGCAAGUGUGUUACUUGGAUAUAAAUGCAUGGAAUGAUGGAAUAUGUUGUUGUUCUAUUUGUUGGUUUUUGAACGAUGAAAUGAUUGAAAGGAACUGUUGGGGGCAUUCGUAUUGUUGUGAGAGAGGUGAAAUUCUUAGACCACAGCAAGACGAACUACUGCGAAAGCAUUUGCCAAGAAUGUUUUCAUUGAUCAAGAACGAAAGUUAGAGGUUCGAAGGCGAUCAGAUACCGCCCUAGUUCUAACCAUAAACUAUGCCAACUAGCAAUCUGCUUAUAUAUGUUCUAUGAUUAAGUAGGCGGCCACGGGAAACCAAAGUAGGGUUAUGGGGGAAGUAUGGUUGCAAAGCUGAAACUUAAAGGAAUUGACGGAAGGGCACCACCAGGAGUGGAGCCUGCGGCUUAAUUUGACUCAACACGGGAAAACUUACCUGGUCCUGACACUAGAAGGAUUGACAGAUUGAUAGCUCUUUCUUGAUUUGGUGGAUGGUGGUGCAUGGCCGUUCUUAGUUGGUGGAGUGAUUUGUCUGGUUAAUUCCGAUAACGAACGAGACUCUAGCCUAUUAAAUAACACACAGAAUCUUGUCUUCUGUGGCGUUUCUUAAUGGGAUCAAGUGUGUUUAACGCUUUGAAACAGAGCAAUAACAGGUCUGUGAUGCCCUUAGAUGUUCGGGGCCGCACGCGCGCUACAUUGAAAGACAAAAUGAGCCUUCUAGCCUUUAAUAAGGCUAGUAAUCUUUGAAUGUUUUUCUUAAUGGGGAUAGGGGAUUGCAAUUGUGCCCCUUGAACGAGGAAUUCCCAGUAAGUGCUAGUCAUUAGCUAGUACUGAUUACGUCCCUGCCCUUUGUACACACCGCCCGUCGCUACUACCGAUUGAAUGGUUUAGUGAGAUCAUCUGAGUAGAUGUACAUGCACUUUGUGUGUGUAAUAUUUGCAAUGAAGAUCAAACUUGAU
rnacentral:rRNA from 1 species